rnacentral:rRNA from 1 species
CCUACGGGGUGCAGCAGUGAGGAAUAUUGGUCAAUGGCCGAGAGGCUGAACCAGCCAAGUCGCGUGAGGGAAGACGGCCCUACGGGUUGUAAACCUCUUUUGUCGGGGAGCAAAGCGAGUCACGUGUGACUCAUUGAGAGUACCCGAAGAAAAAGCAUCGGCUAACUCCGUGCCAGCAGCCGCGGUAAUACGGAGGAUGCGAGCGUUAUCCGGAUUUAUUGGGUUUAAAGGGUGCGCAGGCGGAGGUGCAAGUCAGCGGUCAAAUUGCGGGGCUCAACCCCGUACUGCCGUUGAAACUGCAUGCCUUGAGGGUGCGAGUAUUAUGCGGAAUGCGUGGUGUAGCGGUGAAAUGCAUAGAUAUCACGCAGAACUCCGAUUGCGAAGGCAGCAUACCGGCGCGCAACUGACGCUCAUGCACGAAAGCGUGGGUAUCGAACAGGAUUAGAUAUCCCAGUAGUC